UACAGGACAGUGGCGGAUGGGUGAGUAACGCGUAAGAAACCUGCCUUUCACACCGGGAUGGCAGCUGGAAACGGCUAUUAAUACCGGAUGACACUUUUUCCCCGCAUGAGGAAGAGGUUAAAGAAUUUCGGUGAAAGAUGGUCUUGCGUCUGAUUAGCUAGUUGGUGGGGUAACGGCCUACCAAGGCGACGAUCAGUAGCCGGCCUGAGAGGGUGUACGGCCACAUUGGGACUGAGACACGGCCCAAACUCCUACGGGAGGCAGCAGUGGGGAAUUUUGCACAAUGGAGGAAACUCUGAUGCAGCGACGCCGCGUGAACGAAGAAGGUCUUCGGAUUGUAAAGUUCUGUCCUGGGUGAAGAUAAUGACGGUAACUCAGGAGGAAGCCCCGGCUAACUACGUGCCAGCAGCCGCGGUAAUACGUAGGGGGCGAGCGUUGUUCGGAAUUAUUGGGCGUAAAGGGUACGUAGGCGGUUUGUUAAGUUUGGCGUUAAAUCACGGGGCUCAACCCCGUUCAGCGUUGAAAACUGGCAAACUUGAGUAGUAGAGGGGACAGUGGAAUUCCUAGUGUAGCGGUGAAAUGCGUAGAGAUUAGGAAGAUACCGGUGCGAAGCGACUGUCUGGAUACAUACUGACGC
rnacentral:rRNA from 1 species